UUUUUUAAUGUUUUUACAGGCAAGAAUAGGUAGAAGAUGAUUUGGAAGAGAGUAUUUUUCUACACUGUUGAACUACCACUGGCAGCUACUAAUGUCAUGAAAGAAUGCGAGGUGUAUUUUUCUAUCUUAGAGCUUUCUUUCCAAAAUCACAAAUAGGUGUUUGUUCUUGCUAUGCUUUUCAUACAUUUAAUGCGGUUACAACUUUGACUGUGGCGGUUCCCAUGUUUGUUAGGCUGCUGACUCCAAGAGUGCACUCAAUAUACGUUGUUAUUUGGUGAACAAAAAUAAGUUGGUAAAUUACCAUUCAUGCUUGGUUCUUUUAUUCUUAUGAUUAUGAUUUUUUUUUUUACUUUUCAAACAUUGCAUUGUGCAUGCUAUUAAAUAGGUGGGAAUUUUCACAUAUUAUAAUUAUGAUCCAAACAAAUCUCUCUUUUUCGCAGUUGGUAGGUAGAAUCACGAAAGUCUAGCAAACUUGGUUCCUACCCGCUGCUGAGCAGGUAACACUUGAACUCUUCCUCUGACCCAAGUGCUGCUAAUUUACCUUGAAACCCAGUUAAGUCUAUUUCACCUUAUUAGAUAGAUGAGGUCUUAAAUCCAAGACCAUGGUUAUG
rnacentral:lncRNA from 1 species